rnacentral:rRNA from 1 species
GGUUAAGCGACUAAGCGUACACGGUGGAUGCCCUGGCAGUCAGAGGCGAUGAAGGACGUGCUAAUCUGCGAAAAGCGCCGGCGAGGUGAUAUGAACCCUUGACCCGGCGAUGUCCGAAUGGGGAAACCCAGUGCAAUCCGUUGCACUAUCGUUAACUGAAUACAUAGGUUAACGAGGCGAACCGGGGGAACUGAAACAUCUAAGUACCCCGAGGAAAAGAAAUCAACCGAGAUUCCCCCAGUAGCGGCGAGCGAACGGGGAGCAGCCCGGAGUCUGAAUCAGCUUGUGUGUUAGUGGAACGGUCUGGAAAGUCCGACGGUACAGGGUGAUAGUCCCGUACACGAAAGCACACUUGCUGUGAACUCGAAGAGUAGGGCGGGACACGUGGUAUCCUGUCUGAAUAUGGGGGGACCAUCCUCCAAGGCUAAAUACUCCUGACUGACCGAUAGUGAACCAGUACCGUGAGGGAAAGGCGAAAAGAACCCCGGCGAGGGGAGUGAAAAAGAACCUGAAACCGUGUACGUACAAGCAGUGGGAGCCUCUUUAUGGGGUGACUGCGUACCUUUUGUAUAAUGGGUCAGCGACUUAUAUUCUGUAGCAAGGUUAACCGUAUAGGGGAGCCGCAGGGAAACCGAGUCUUAACUGGGCGUUAAGUUGCAGGGUAUAGACCCGAAACCCGGUGAUCUAGCCAUGGGCAGGUUGAAGGUUGGGUAACACUAACUGGAGGACCGAACCGACUAAUGUUGAAAAAUUAGCGGAUGACUUGUGGCUGGGGGUGAAAGGCCAAUCAAACCGGGAGAUAGCUGGUUCUCCCCGAAAGCUAUUUAGGUAGCGCCUCGUGAACUCAUCUUCGGGGGUAGAGCACUGUUUCGGCUAGGGGGUCAUCCCGACUUACCAACCCGAUGCAAACUACGAAUACCGAAGAAUGUUAUCACGGGAGACACACGGCGGGUGCUAACGUCCGUCGUGAAGAGGGAAACAACCCAGACCGCCAGCUAAGGUCCCAAAGUCAUGGUUAAGUGGGAAACGAUGUGGGAAGGCACAGACAGCCAGGAUGUUGGCUUAGAAGCAGCCAUCAUUUAAAGAAAGCGUAAUAGCUCACUGGUCGAGUCGGCCUGCGCGGAAGAUGUAACGGGGCUAAACCAUGCACCGAAGCUGCGGCAGCGACACUAUGUGUUGUUGGGUAGGGGAGCGUUCUGUAAGCCGUUGAAGGUGUGCUGUGAGGCAUGCUGGAGGUAUCAGAAGUGCGAAUGCUGACAUAAGUAACGAUAAAGCGGGUGAAAAGCCCGCUCGCCGGAAGACCAAGGGUUCCUGUCCAACGUUAAUCGGGGCAGGGUGAGUCGACCCCUAAGGCGAGGCCGAAAGGCGUAGUCGAUGGGAAACAGGUUAAUAUUCCUGUACUUGGUGUUACUGCGAAGGGGGGACGGAGAAGGCUAUGUCAGCCGGGCGACGGUUGUCCCGGUUUAAGCAUGUAGGCGGAGGUUCCAGGUAAAUCCGGUACCUUAUUAACGCUGAGGUGUGAUGACGAGGCACUACGGUGCUGAAGUGAUAAAUGCCCUGCUUCCAGGAAAAGCCUCUAAGCAUCAGGUAACACGAAAUCGUACCCCAAACCGACACAGGUGGUCAGGUAGAGAAUACCAAGGCGCUUGAGAGAACUCGGGUGAAGGAACUAGGCAAAAUGGUGCCGUAACUUCGGGAGAAGGCACGCUGAUGUGUAGGUGAAGCCCCUGCGGGUGGAGCUGAAAUCAGUCGAAGAUACCAGCUGGCUGCAACUGUUUAUUAAAAACACAGCACUGUGCAAACACGAAAGUGGACGUAUACGGUGUGACGCCUGCCCGGUGCCGGAAGGUUAAUUGAUGGGGUUAUCCGUAAGGAGAAGCUCUUGAUCGAAGCCCCGGUAAACGGCGGCCGUAACUAUAACGGUCCUAAGGUAGCGAAAUUCCUUGUCGGGUAAGUUCCGACCUGCACGAAUGGCGUAAUGAUGGCCAGGCUGUCUCCACCCGAGACUCAGUGAAAUUGAACUCGCUGUGAAGAUGCAGUGUACCCGCGGCAAGACGGAAAGACCCCGUGAACCUUUACUAUAGCUUGACACUGAACAUUGAGCCUUGAUGUGUAGGAUAGGUGGGAGGCUUUGAAGCGUGGACGCCAGUCUGCGUGGAGCCAACCUUGAAAUACCACCCUUUAAUGUUUGAUGUUCUAACGUUGGCCCCUGACCGGGGUUGCGGACAGUGUCUGGUGGGUAGUUUGACUGGGGCGGUCUCCUCCCAAAGCGUAACGGAGGAGCACGAAGGUUAGCUAAUCCUGGUCGGACAUCAGGAGGUUAGUGCAAUGGCAUAAGCUAGCUUGACUGCGAGCGUGACGGCGCGAGCAGGUGCGAAAGCAGGUCAUAGUGAUCCGGUGGUUCUGAAUGGAAGGGCCAUCGCUCAACGGAUAAAAGGUACUCCGGGGAUAACAGGCUGAUACCGCCCAAGAGUUCAUAUCGACGGCGGUGUUUGGCACCUCGAUGUCGGCUCAUCACAUCCUGGGGCUGAAGUAGGUCCCAAGGGUAUGGCUGUUCGCCAUUUAAAGUGGUACGCGAGCUGGGUUUAGAACGUCGUGAGACAGUUCGGUCCCUAUCUGCCGUGGGCGCUGGAGAAUUGAGGGGGGCUGCUCCUAGUACGAGAGGACCGGAGUGGACGCAUCACUGGUGUUCGGGUUGUCAUGCCAAUGGCAUUGCCCGGUAGCUAAAUGCGGAAGAGAUAAGUGCUGAAAGCAUCUAAGCACGAAACUUGCCCCGAGAUGAGUUCUCCCUGAGACCUUGAGUCUCCUGAAGGAACGUUAAAGACGAUGACGUUGAUAGGUCGGGUGUGUAAGCGCAGCGAUGCGUUGAGCUAACCGAUACUAAUGAACCGUGAGGCUUAACCUU